UACGGAGGGUGCGAGCGUUGUCCGGAAUCAUUGGGCGUAAAGGGCGCGUAGGUGGCCCGGUCAGUUCGUGGUGAAAGCGCGGGGCUCAACCCUGCGUCGGCCAUGAAUACUGCCGCGGCUGGAGCACUGUAGAGGCAGGCGGAAUUCCGGGUGUAGCGGUGGAAUGCGUAGAGAUGCGGAGGAACACCGAUGGCGAAGGCAGCCCCCUGGGCCAACACUGACGCUCAGGCACGAAAGCGUGGGGAGCAAACAGG
rnacentral:rRNA from 1 species